rnacentral:rRNA from 1 species
AUACGGAGGGUGCAAGCGUUAAUCGGAAUUACUGGGCGUAAAGGGUGCGUAGGCGGCUUGAUAAGUCGGAUGUGAAAGCCCCGGGCUUAACCUGGGAAUUGCAUUCGAUACUGUCAGGCUAGAGUAUGUCAGAGGUUGGCGGAAUUCCUGGUGUAGCGGUGAAAUGCGUAGAUAUCAGGAGGAACACCAGUGGCGAAGGCGGCUAACUGGGGCAAUACUGACGCUGAGGCACGAAAGCGUGGGGAGCAAACAGGAUUAGAUACCCGAGUAGUCC